CCUANGGGAGGCAGCAGUCGAGAAUAAUUCACAAUGGGGGCAACCCUGAUGGUGCAACGCCGCGUGGAGGAUGACGGUCUUCGGAUUGUAAACUCCUGUCAUCCGGGAGUAAGACCUGGGAGUGAAUAGCUCACAGGGUUGAUAGUACCGGAAGAGGAAGGGACGGCUAACUUCGUGCCAGCAGCCGCGGUAAUACGAAGGUCCCGAGCGUUGUUCGGAAUCACUGGGCGUAAAGGGAGCGUAGGCGGCGUGGUAAGUCAGAUGUGAAAUCCCGGGGCUCAACCCCGGAACUGCAUCCGAUACUGCCGUGCUAGAGGAUUGGAGAGGUAGCUGGAAUUCUUGGUGUAGCAGUGAAAUGCGUGGAUAUCAAGAGGAACACUCGUGGCGAAAGCGAGCUACUGGACAACUCCUGACGCUGAGGCUCGAAGGCCAGGGUAGCGAAAGGGAUUAGAUACCCCANUANUC
rnacentral:rRNA from 1 species